ACGGCUGCACCACGUAGAAAUACCAGUUCCUGUAUGAACACCGAAAUUAAGCAACGUCGAGUCUGGUCAGUACUUAGAUGGGUGACCGCUUGG